GUGAUUUCCACAGAGAUGCCUCAGGCCUUCCUGAGAUGGAACCAGUGCCUGGACUUGGGCCUCCUGGCCAGGGUGACACUGAGGGGCCAAGAGCCUGUGGCUGGGACAGGUAGGCUGCUUGGAGCACGGAGCAUGGGGCCCCAGGUUCCGAGGGCUCUAAAAGCCACCGCUGUGAGCAGCGCAGGCCUGAAGCACGGUGCCGGAGAUGGGAAAAGGAGCCCUCGAGCAGAACAGCUUUUCUCCAGACAUUCUAGAACCAUAUAAAGAGCUGAAAAACUCCAAAAGCCUCACUGUGAAGUUAAAAAGCAGAGGAGAGCUUUGGAAAUGGGAAUGGGAAUGGAGGAAAGGUACGGGGAAGGUUCAGGAAGACAGAACAACACCAGUUGGUCAGACCUGGCUCAGCUGAAAAUGCUUUCGUGCCACUGUGGGAUCCCUCUCCUAGAUUAUUUGCAGGUGAGAGGAAAUAUAUUUUUUAAAUAUCUGACUGUAUUAUCUUUGCAAGGUGAAUGCAAAUAUUUGUAUGCAUAAACACAUUUGAAUGACGG
rnacentral:lncRNA from 1 species